GCUCCUCCGGCUUUUAAGGUUUAAAUGAUUCAGAGGCUCGGGCGGGGCCGGGCCGGGGGGAGCCGCGGGCGCAGUCACGCACAGGCCGGGCCGGGUCACGCGUGGGGACACGAGGGACACGCGGGGGCGGUGCCACACCUUUGUCGCCGCAGCGGUGACACGCUCAGCCCCGCACCCACCCCCUUCCCCCGCAGGUGCUGAGCGAGGAGGAGGAGGACGAUGAUGAUGAUGAUGAGGAGGAUGAUGAUGAUGUUCCCCAUCUCCCCGUCAGGAUCCCAAGGAGCUCCACGCUCCGCGGGCGCUCCGGCAGCAGCGGCUUCAGGCAGGAGCCGCUCCCCACCUCGGCACCCCCGGCCCCGACUGGGUGACCGGAGGCCACCUCAGGAGGAGGUGGCACCUUGGCCGGGUGUCCCACGGACGUUUUGGACACGCGUGUGACACGUGUGCGUGUGUGGGUGUGCACGUGUGGCUGUUUGGCACAGGAAAACCUCCGGGCCUCGGGAUUUUGGCCCAGUUUUGGUCCCUCCCUCGUCCCCCGGCCCUGUGGCCCGCUCGGGGCCUGCAGCGGGGACGUGUCCCCAACCCUUGGGAACGUGUCCCCAACCCUUGGGGGACGUGUCCCCAGCCCUUGGGAAUGUGUCCCCAACCCUUGGGAACGUGUCCCCAACCCUUGGGGACGUCACUUGCACUUUGGUCGCUUGCACUAGAGGGGGGUGGGGACACAAUAAAGUCCCUGAAGGGA